UGUAUUUUAUUAUAUGAUGUAUAAAAGUUUUUGAUACUUUAGGGGAUAGUUUAAUUCUGUCAAAUGCAA
rnacentral:tRNA from 1 species